CUCCGCCACUACCAGGUGAUCCACCACCGCCAUGUCCACCUCCACCACUGCCCGGUGAUCCACCACCUCCACCGUGUCCACCUCCACCACUGCCAGGUGAUCCACCACCUCCACCGUGUCCACCACCACCAUGUCCACCUCCACCACUGCCAGGUGAUCCACCACCUCCUCCGUGUCCACCACCACCAUGUCCACCUCCACCACUGCCAGGUGAUCCACCACCUCCACCACUACCAGGCGAUCCACCACCUCCACCACUACCAGGCGAUCCACCACCUCCACCACUACCAGGCGAUCCACCAUGUCCACCUCCGCCACUACCAGGUGAUCCACCACCACCACCUCCCCCGCCACUUCCUGGAGGGCUUGUGUAAGGUGGAUAGCUGGAUGAAGGCGGUGGUAUUGUUCCAGG
rnacentral:lncRNA from 1 species